rnacentral:rRNA from 1 species
UACAGAGGUCUCAAGCGUUGUUCGGAUUCAUUGGGCGUAAAGGGUGCGUAGGUGGCGGGGGUAAGUCAGGUGUGAAAUCUCGGGGCUCAACCCCGAAACUGCACUUGAUACUGCCUUGCUCGAGUACUGGAGAGGAGAUUGGAAUUUACGGUGUAGCAGUGAAAUGCGUAGAUAUCGUAAGGAAGACCAGUGGCGAAGGCGAAUCUCUGGACAGUUACUGACACUGAGGCACGAAGGCCAGGGGAGCAAACGGG